CCUGGCGGCAAUAGCAAGUGAGAACCACCUGAUCCCAUCUCGAACUCAGAAGUGAAAUCGUUUAGCGCCAAUGGUAGUUUGGGGUCUCCCCAUGCGAGAGUAGGACACCGCCAGGC
rnacentral:rRNA from 1 species